CACUCCCGCCUCCUUCCGGCGCGCCGUCAUCCCCGCCACCUACCAGCGCGCCGUCAUCCCCGUCUCCUACCGGCGCGCCGCCGGACCCUCCUUCUUCCCUGGAGCGCCGCCACCCCGCUGCCCCCGCCGUCUUCCCGAGCGCGCCGCUGCCGCCGUCUUCCCCAGAGCGCCACCGCCCCGCCACCCCCGCCCACGGGACCAGUGGUCCCAUCGCCGGUCUCCCCCCACCCAGAUCUGCCGGAGGCGCACCGAAUCCUGCCUCACGGCCGGUUCCCGCGACUCGGCCGCCGCCCCAACCGCUGCAGCAGCCGAGCACCUCCACUAGGUGCCCCGGCGGUUCAGACCCCCACCUGGCCCCUCCCUCGAACCCAGCGAGCCUCCGCCCCGGCCUACUUCCCGCGCGAGGUCGCCUCGCCUCCUCCUGGCGCACCGCCGCCCCCACCAUCUGGAUCGAUGUCCCACUUGAGUUAGACGUGAACGAUAUGUUGAAGAGAAAGGGGGCACAGGCUAUUUCAGACCCUGAUUCGUUUUCUCAGGCAAUGGCAAAGCUCCGUCAGCGUUAUGAUGAUCUGAAAGAGCGGUAUGCAGUUUCUGAUGUUACUGUUUCAGUACAGAACGUGGCUUCUCAGCUAGGCUACAGUAGCAUCGACUCUUUGAGCCUGGAGGACAUGGUCAUUGAGGUUUGCAAUAUAAGCAUACUAUAGACAGAACUGUGUCUACACAAUUGGACAAAGGGCAAAAAUUGCAGCUGAAUAUGGGACCUGUUUUUGUAAAUAACUUCUCGUGAAAUACUUGUCAUCAAAUGCAAGAGGGGUCGUCGAGGCUGCCCGCAACCCGAUGCCCUCCACGGACACCACCACCAUGAUGGCGGAAGGAAGAGCAAGAGGGGUCGUCGAGGCUGGGUGCUGCCGUGAGGAUGCUGGCGCCCGUGCACGGUGAUGGCAUUGUGGCGGAAGGUCUUCUUCCUGGGGAGCCGCGCCCAGCCUCAGUCUCCACCCGCGGCCACACUAACAAGAUAGAUCUCAAUGCUUGCUUGCUAAUGUGCAUGUGUGGAUGUUGCUGGUUGCUGCUGCUGUGCACGUCUGCUUGGUGUGCCCCUGCUGUUUUGUGUUCUCACCACCACAUCCAUGACAAAUAAAAUUUCUUAGUUUUCUUAGAAUGGUUUGUGCCAUGAUCUUCAUGCCAGGCAGGGUUUACAUUACGCAUGUGGACAACAGGAUUUUGAUGUCCAGUUAAACUUUCACAUGGUUGUGCAUAUGCACUAUCUAUUAAACCGACAAUCAUUGUUUUCAGGUUCAGGUUCGAUAUGUGAGGGCUAAAGUACACUCCUGAGUUAAAGAAAGACCUCGAGAGACACUGUAGUGUGUAUGCAGGAACUAAAGACAUGUAUUAGAGAAUGAAGCAUCAAUCAUCUUCUUGCUUAUUGUUUGUCAAAUGCUAUAUUAAAGUACUGUAUCAAUUCCAUUGUUAUUUACACGAAGGGACGGAUUAAGACCUGUGGGAUCAUGGCUCUUUCAGCUUGAGCAGUAUUUGCGAUGUAUCCUUCACUUACCAUGCCACGGGGUUGUUGCGGAUAUUGGUGGAGGACUUGGUGGACUAGCGCAAAAUGGAAUCCUAGAAAGAAGUGAAACUAAUCAGCUAUGGUCAGUCGGCAGAGGCGCAUGCAGAGCAAAGGAGGCUUCUGUGGCGCCGGAGCAACAAUUUCAGUGAGCACAUGGACUUGAUGCAGGGAGGGUCGUCGAAGAUAAGGACGGCGGCCCGGCCUACACAUGAUGGAACACACAUUGCCGACGAUGCGGUACCAGGGCUAGAGAAGAGAUCCCAAGAAUGCCCGCCGCAGUACUGCAUUGCCACUAUCUUCAAAGACGCGUCGCUGGAUGUUGUUAGGGAUUUCUUCUGGGAUGAUGACUUCCGGGUCAAGAACACUUGGGACAAUAUCUGCAGCACGAGAUUGAACGACGGGUGCACAAAUACUGGAACAAUGGUUGUUUGCUGGGUCAGGAAGGUGAGGUAUCUGCGUGAUAUCCCUGGCAAUAUUUCUGGAAUGCAUUACAAACUAUAUAAGUUUUGCCGUCACUGCUUGCCUUGCCUGUGCAGUUUCCAUUCUUCUGCAACGACAGGGAGUAUGUUAUCGGUCGCAGGGUCUGGGCAUCGGGAAAGACGUACUACUGCGCUAAUAAGGUGUUUUAUGAAAUGUCCUCCGUCCGAAAAUACUUGUCAUCAAAAUGAAUAAAAGGAGAUCACAAUGUUGGACACGACCACCUAAGAAUUGAAUAUUUUUAGUUGGAAUACUGUUUUAAUGAUCAAUCACAAUGUUGGACGCGACCACCUACUUAUUCCCGAGACUUUAAGUCUUUGGUGGCUUAAGCACAAUAUGACUGGCAUAUGUUCUACAUCUGCGGCAUGUAAUGACCCUACUGGCAUUUCAAGAGGUCUGUAAAUACAACACUCUUCCAAAGUAUUUCCAAGUCUGGAUGGUUAUUGAGCCUGCAUUGAUGAAAUAGUUGACAAAGAAGGAACUGAAAUGAGGUUAUUGAAGCUGCAUUUAAGAAUCUUGGUUGAUGAGCUGACAUCUGACCAAAAACUCAAGAACUAGAAACAAGCCUGACAUCCUUUUUCUGUAAUCGGAUUUACUAUAUUUCUGCAGCAGGCUACAUGCUUCUCUGAAUGACCAUUUAAGGAGUGAACAUGAAUUACUGAUGUAUAUGUUCCAUGCUCCAUGGGGAGGGAACAAGGAUUGAUUUUCGCCAGGAGUAGGGAGAGUAUGACUUGCCUAACAGAAGCACAAACACAAAUGGACACUCUGAAGUUGUAUCAGACACACCACCACAAGACAUGCUGUGUGCGUCACAAUUCUUAGCAGCGACCGUUACAAUCGUGCAACGCCAAGAUGGCUAGCGACAAGGAUUUGAGGAGGACAAGACGGUAGCUAUCGACAAGGAUUCAAGAAGGAUCAGAUGCCACGGUAGUGGUUGUAAUAAUAGUCGAGACGAAUCUGAAAAAAUUGAGUUGAGUUGUUGAGAUGUGGAGAUAUGAUGGAUUUUGCAAAAAAAAAAAAAAAAAAA